rnacentral:miRNA from 1 species
GUCCUCCAGGCCAUGAGCUGCGG